CAGGGAUUGCCCCAGUAACGGCGAGUGAAGCGGCAGGAGCUCAAAUUUGAAAUCUGGGGUCCCCGACCUCCGAGUUGUAAUUUGGAGAGGCAUCUUCGGGGGGGAGCGCCGGCCCAUGUUCCUUGGAACAGGACGUCGCAGAGGGUGAGAAUCCCGUGCCAGGCCGGCUGCCUCCUCCCGGGUGAAGGGCCUUCGACGAGUCGAGUUGUUUGGGAAUGCAGCUCCAAGUGGGUGGUAAAUUUCAUCUAAAGCUAAAUACCGGCGGGAGACCGAUAGCGCACAAGUAGAGUGAUCGAAAGAUGAAAAGCACUUUGAAAAUAGAGUCAAAAAGUACGUGAAAUUGUUGAAAGGGAAGCGCUUGAGACCAGACUCAGGCCCGGGCAAACAUCGCGCCCCCCGGGGCCGUGCAAUUGCCUGGGGCUGGGCCAGCAUCAGUUGGCGUGGCGGGACAAAGGCGCGGGGAAUGUGGCUCCCCUCGGGGAGUGUUAUUAGGCCCGCGCUCAAUGCCGCCGACGUCGACUGAGGACCGCGCCUCGGCUAGGAUGCUGGCUUAAUGGCCUUCAGCGACCCGUCUUGAAACACGGACCAAGGAGUCUAACAUCUAUGCGAGUGUUUGGGCGCCAAACCCUUGCGCGUAAUGAAAGUGAGCGGAGGUGGGAACCCCCCAGCGGGGCGCACCAUCGACCGAUCCUGAUGUCUUCGGAUGGAUUUGAGUAGGAGCAUA
rnacentral:rRNA from 1 species